rnacentral:rRNA from 1 species
UACGUAGGGUGCAAGCGUUGUCCGGAAUUAUUGGGCGUAAAGAGCUCGUAGGCGGUUGGUCGCGUCUGCUGUGAAAUUUCGGGGCUCAACCCCGGAACUGCAGUGGGUACGGGCAGACUAGAGUGCGGUAGAGGAGACUGGAAUUCCUGGUGUAGCGGUGGAAUGCGCAGAUAUCAGGAGGAACACCAGUGGCGAAGGCGGGUCUCGGGGCCGCAAAUGACGCUGAGGAGCGAAAGCGUGGGGAGCGAACAGG